UCAAUUUGANAUCUGGCUUCGGCCCGAGUUGUAAUUUGCAGAGGAUGUUUAUGGUGCGGUACCUUCCNAGUUCCCUGGAACGGGACGCCACAGAGGGUGAGAGCCCCGUCUGGUUGGAUACCAAACCUGUGUUAAACUCCUUCAACGAGUCGAGUAGUUUGGGAAUGCUGCUCUAAAUGGGAGGUAAAUCUCUUCUAAAGCUAAAUACCGGCCAGAGACCGAUAGCGCACAAGUAGAGUGAUCGAAAGAUGAAAAGCACCUUGAAAAGGGGGUUAAACAGUACGUGAAAUUGUUAAAAGGGAAGCGUUUAUGACCAGACUUGUGCCGUGUGGCUCAUCCGGGGUUCUCCCCGGUGCACUCCACACGGUUCANGCCAACAUCGGUUUUCGUUGGGGGAUNAAAACGGUAAGAACGUGGCCCNUUUCCGAGGGUGUUAUAAGCCUACCGUACNAUACCCUGAACGGGGACCNAGGACCCCNCCUCCGCUAANAAGUUGGCGUANNGGCAUUUCCACCCC
rnacentral:rRNA from 1 species